GGGAUCUGCUGGUUGGUGGUAUUACUCAUCCAGUCUUCAUUUGAAAGAAAUUAUGAAAGAGAAUACAGAGGAUCAAAAAGAAUAUAUCCUGACUCACAUCUCCUGCAAUUUACAUUAAGAGCAGCACAGAGUGUAGAGGAAUACAUUUUCCAAGGAAAUACUCACUGACCUAAAACAAGCAUUGUGGUAUGUGACACUGGCAACUUAGUCUGCCCAUGAGAUGACACAUUAUGCUAUGCACUCUUCAAUGGACCUAAUGGCUUCAGUGUUUUCCUCUGUAGAACUUAAGAGCUUGACAAGAAAAACAAGACCCAUGGACCAGCUUCACAGGAAAGAACACUAUCAGUUGGAUAUUGCCUUAAAUCAUUGGUAACUUGUAUGUUAAGCAGCUGUUACUGUGUGUGUAAUAGCAGUUUGUGGGAUACGUACUUGUAACUGCAAUAUUCUUGUCAGAAAAUUCUGGUCUCUGCCAAGGAUUUUCCCGCAUUUUUUUCAUAUUCAGUUUCACAAAAUAAUGGAAAACAAGCUACUAGCUUAGACCUAAGGAAUUUCAGAAUUAUUUAAGACAAGCCAUAUAAUUUUCUAUUUCCUUAUUAUGCAAAUCACAUGUAAAUUUCUGAAUAAAUAAUGGAGGGAAAAAAAGCU